CCAAGACAUUCUCCAGUGCUGAUCUGUUCUACUUCUCAACCCAAAUGACGCAUAGGUACCCAGGGUUUAACAAGCAUUAAAAUUAAGGAGGAUGUAAUAAUCAGCCCCAGAAACUUUUCAAAACCUGCUCGCCCUGUGCAGCCUCCCAGCCUUGGUGGGAGAAGGUGCCCGUGCUCACUGCACUCUGAGUGCAGAGGAGCCUCUCAGUCCUGCACUGAAGGUACUCCCAGGAGCAGCUCACCUUGGGGAAAC
rnacentral:lncRNA from 1 species